rnacentral:rRNA from 1 species
UACGAAGGGGGCUAGCGUUGCUCGGAAUUACUGGGCGUAAAGGGCGCGUAGGCGGCACUGUUAGUCAGGCGUGAAAGUCCUGGGCUCAACCUGGGAACUGCGCUUGAUACGGCAGAGCUAGAGGAUGGAAGAGGGUCGCGGAAUUCCCAGUGUAGAGGUGAAAUUCGUAGAUAUUGGGAAAAACACCGGUGGCGAAGGCGGCGACCUGGUCCAUUACUGACGCUGAGGCGCGACAGCGUGGGGAGCAAACAGG